AUUGAACGCUGGCGGAAUGCUUUACACAUGCAAGUCGAACGGCAGCACGGGGGCAACCCUGGUGGCGAGUGGCGAACGGGUGAGGAAUACAUCGGAACGUGCCCGGUCGUGGGGGAUAACGUAGCGAAAGUUACGCUAAUACCGCAUACGAUCUGAGGAUGAAAGCGGGGGACCUUCGGGCCUCGCGCGAUCGGCGCGGCCGAUGUCAGAUUAGGUAGUUGGUGGGGUAAAGGCCUACCAAGCCGACGAUCUGUAGCUGGUCUGAGAGGACGACCAGCCACACUGGGACUGAGACACGGCCCAGACUCCUACGGGAGGCAGCAGUGGGGAAUUUUGGACAAUGGGCGCAAGCCUGAUCCAGCCAUUCCGCGUGCAGGACGAAGGCCUUCGGGUUGUAAACUGCUUUUGUAUGGAACGAAAAGGCUCUGGCUAAUACCUGGGGCUCAUGACGGUACCGUAAGAAUAAGCACCGGCUAACUACGUG
rnacentral:rRNA from 1 species